UGAUAACAUAAGGGAAAAAAAUGAUAUUACCUUAUUAUUAGUGUCGUCCAAAACUGGUGCCAGAAGACUCGGUAAGGCCAGAGACACAAACGUUAAUCGUCUUAAUCAGGCGUAAAGGGUUUGUAGGCGGCUUUAAAAUUUAUUUAUAAAAAAAAAAAAAUAAAUAAAGAAUAAAAGCUAGAAUCAAAUAGAGGAUAUAUUAAAUAAUGCUUAGAGUAGGUCUGAUAUCCUUAGAUACUAAGUAGAAUAUUAAAGGCGAAAGCUUUUUUCCAUUAAUGAUUGACGCUCAGAAACGAAGGUGAGGAUAGGAAAUAGGAUUAGAUACCCAAAUACCCCUCUCUGUCAACGAUGAAUGGUAGUUAUUAGUAAAAAUUUUAUUAAUGGCAAUGUUAACACGAUAACCAUUCCGCCUUGUGAGUACAACUGCAAAGUUGAAAACAAAAAAAUUAGUCGGUUUCGGAGCAAACGAAGUGAAGCAUGUUAUUUAA
rnacentral:rRNA from 1 species